UAUAUAUUUCCUCCGUCCGAAAAUACUUGUCAUCAAAAUGGAUAAAAGAAGAUGUAUCUGUCAUCAAAAUGGAUAAAAGAAGAUGUAUCUAGAUGUACUUUUAUCCAUUUUGAUGACAAGUAUUUUCGGACGGAGGGAGUAUUUG
rfam:Triticum aestivum genome assembly, contig: Triticum_aestivum_CS42_TGACv1_scaffold_061540_1DL